rnacentral:rRNA from 1 species
UACGUAGGGUGCGAGCGUUGUCCGGAAUUAUUGGGCGUAAAGGGCUCGUAGGCGGUCUGUCGCGUCGGGAGUGAAAACUCAGGGCUUAACCCUGAGCCUGCUUCCGAUACGGGCAGACUAGAGGUAUGCAGGGGAGAACGGAAUUCCCGGUGUAGCGGUGAAAUGCGCAGAUAUCGGGAAGAACACCGGUGGCGAAGGCGGCAUCCUGGACCGACACUGACGCUGAGGAGCGAAAGCCAGGGGAGCAAACGGG